AUGCUGAUUCUGGCAGGAGUCAAAGUGGAGGAGUAAGCGGGAGAGCCUUACCCCUGGCGAAUUGUGGAUGACUGUGGUGGGGCCUUUACAAUGGAUACCAUUGGUGGUAGUAUCUUUCAUGUAAUCAAAGGUUUUCGAAAUUUUCCAGUGUGAGUAAACCACAGACUACGAGGAAGUUUGAUAGCUAUUAAAACCAGGGCUCCACAACUGGGAGGUAGCUUUGCCAUUUGGCGAGGCCUGUUUUCCACUAUUGACUGCAGUAUGGUUCAAGUCAGAGGGAAAGAAGAUCCUUGGGACUCCAUCACAAGUGGUGCCUUAACAGGAGCCAUCCUGACAACAAGAAAUGGGCCAGUGGCCAUGGCUGGGUCAGCCACAAUAGGUGGCAUUCUUCUAGCUUUAAUUGAAGGAGCUGGUAUCUUGUUGACAAGAUUUGCCUCUACACAGUUUCCCGAUGGUCCUCAGUUUGCUGAAGAUCCCUCCCAGUUGCUUUCCUCACCUUUUGAAGACUGUGGAAAACAUCAAUAGGACUUCUUUCCCAGGAUUUCUUUAACAGAAUGAGUAAUAGUUUGAGAAGGAUUUCAGAAUAUCAAGUUACAACCUGUUUUUAAAACCAUAGGUGAGACAACUAUGGCCAAUAGGCUAUGAAGAGACAUUUAGCACUUUUUUCUAUUAAAGGAGCGUAAGGGGAGGGGUGCUAAAAGUUAAUGUAUUUAUUUGUUCACACUUGAAUUGCAUUUGUGAUCAGAAUAAAUGUCUAAUACCAAUAAAAGAAAAUAAGUAAGUGCUUUAAAAAUGAAGGACAAAA